GCGAAAACAGAAUGAAUGAUUUAAGUAGGAUAGGAACAAUAAUGUAAUAACUUCAAUAAAUAAACAUCUAAAGCAAACUAUUCUUAUAUAAUAGAAAAUCAUAUCUGCAAUGGAACCUAACAUAGCAAAUUAGGUAGAUUGUACUAUUGUCUAAAGUUAAAGAUUUCUUCGCCCAAGCUGCAAUGCAAACUGAUCAACAGCCACCACAGCACGAGAUGCUGCACCAAUUGAGCCAUCAUACCUGUCAAUGCAAGUGAAUUCAAUCUUUCCAGCAUGUCAAAUCCUUUAGCCUCUAUUAGGAAGAAAGAGGGAAAUGGAGGGAGAGGGGAAAUGGGGAGAAAAUGAAGGGAAAUUGAGAUUUGGGGCCUACAUAAUAAGAAACAAUUUUAUGGUUCCUUAUCCCAUUUUCUCUUCUCCCCAUUUUCCCAUCUCUCCCAAACAGAGACUUAGUUCCUUAAACAAUACAAAUGCUUCAAUCGGUAUAACAACCCAUAGCUGAACAUGUAUACAAUGCAAAAAUGAACACGUUAACACAAGUAUGGUAAAAGGCUUACAAUGCAACCAAGAGGAAUGCUGCUGUCUGCAUGACAAUAGUACCUUCACCAGUUGGUUUUGAUGUAUUUACACACCUUGCAGAGAACCAAUUCUCAUGAAUUGAAGUAACCACAUCUGCCACCCAAUUUAGCCAUUGUAAGACAGUAAUCACAUAAUGGACAAAAAAAAUGUAAAAAUUAUGUUGUAGGAGCCACAAUUACUAGGAAAUGUUAUGUGCACAAAGUGCCACAAAGUGCAAGGCAUGGAUUAAAAUGGACAUUAAGAAAUUCAAUUUACAUAUUUUUUGACUCUAGCAACCUGCAAUGAGUUGCACAACAUAAUACACAGUCCAACUUAGAGUGACAUCGCUAAUAUCCCCUAAUAUUGGUUGUUUGACAAAAACAAAGAGAUCAAAAGAUCAACUAUUAGGCUUAAUAUUUGGCUAGACAACGUGGAAAAAGUAAAUUAACUUCACAAAUAAAUAAUUACGCAGUAUAAUUUAGCUAUAUAUCACCAAAACCAGAAUCAAAUAAGUUCAUAGCCAAAAACUAAAUCUAACCUCAACCAUCCAGAAAAACAUGAUUAAAGAGCACAGAGACAAAUAGCCCCAAUUUUAGAUCUGUUAGAGUAGUGUAGCCACAGUAAGAGAUAAGCCACAACUGUGGCUCUUGUAAAUCACAUAACUAACAUCCUUCUCUUGUCUAGCCUGCACUAGUCAAUGUUCCUUGAUCAAAGCACAGAUCUUUCCAACUACAACUUCACAAAUAAUAUUUCUCUCAACAUUGGUCUCCAUUCUCUAAACUAGUUCCCCGUUAAGAAAAUCUUCCACGUGAAUAAAACCAAGAAGUAGGUUAUAAACAUUAACUUGAAUAAAAGAAUAACACAUUUUUCUAAUAAAGAAAGACUAAUACACUUUUAAGUUAAAAAAAUGUUCUCAAUCAAGAAAAACUUGUUUGCAAAAAUAAGCAGCUUUUGAAUUAGAAUCAACUCCGCUUGUCGUCAAUAUUAACACAUUUACCCUACAUUCAUUUUGGCUGGAGCAAUUAUAACACUUCAACUAGCUAAAUGAAAUUUGGCUUCUCAUAUUAUUGUAUUUAAUUUAAUAUGACUAUCAAACAUUAGAUCAAAAGUUGCAGAAGAACUUACAUUGAUUUGGCCCAAUAAUAAAGCUCUCAGUUUGGAGUUUGUUGUGUUUGAUGAAAUCAAUGAAUUGACUCAGUUCAAUAGGAUUGACUUUUAUCCCUUCUUGUUCUGCAAUGGUAGACAAUAACCGUGAUGGUCCAGAGGGGUCAUAGUUAAUAAGCAGAGCUGCCUUCAAUGGUUUGCCUAAUAAGUUGCAAUAAACAAAAUCUGUAAAUGUAUGUGUUAUACAUAUACCAAUUGAAAAGGGUAUGUUACCAGAGGAACCAAUGCUGUGGGAAGCCCACUUCUCCCAAGUUUUGUGUGCAAAACCCCAAUCCAUUCCACCAAAAAUCCUAAGGAACAGUGAAGCAGUUGCUCAAGUCUUGUGUUUUGACUCCGAAAUGUGAGUUAGCUUCUAAAGAAAACCAGAAAAUUGCGGGAAAAUACUUGGAAAUAAAGCAAUGAAGACCAAGAUCAAAGACAACCGAGCAGAGAUGGUGUUUCGGUUGGAUAAAGGCUAUGGAACGUGCCGGAAAAAUGAUUGCUGCGGUGGCUGUGACUGUGGUUAUUAUUAUAUUAUUAUUUUGGUGGCGUAGAAACGCAAUGUGAGAGCAGAUUUCGGUUACAAACAAUUAUAGUUCUUGAUCCG
rnacentral:misc_RNA from 1 species